CCAAACAGCUCAGAUCUCUGGGGGGACACUUUCCCUCAUGAGGUCAGUUUCUGAGUUCCUGGAUGAUGCUGGCUUAGCUUCUCAGAGUGUUGUGGAGUUAUCCCAAUCCCGUGGAAGAACUUUCAAAACUGGGCCUUGACUCAACAAGGGAGAAAAUACACAACAGCUAUCCGCGGAGGAGCCCUUCGCACUCCUCCUUCUCCCUGGAAGAAGCCCUGAGAAGUCAGGGAAGUGUUGGCUGCAGACUGCACCACCGCGGGAGAGAGAAAUUUGUUGUGAAAAGCUUACCUGGUUCAUUAGGACAGUGUGAUUUUGAAAACAAAACAAUUUCUAAGAGUGUUCUUAAUCACUUCAACUGCACUUGGGGCUCAUGUUACCAUGGAGGAGAAGAUGACAGAGCCAACAGGGUUCCACGUGCCUACAUGAAAUGGGGUUGUAAUGAAGAUAAAAGUUAACUGAUAUAUUCUAAAUAUCUGGCACAGAGUUGAAAUUCAGUAUGGAGCAGUUGUAUUAGUAAAACAGCAAAUUCUCCAGAAUGGGAAAAGGGGGACUUGUUCAUACGCAGAGCUGAAGAUGCCACAGAGAGAGAGAAUGCUUCAUGUUUGAAUGAAGAUUCUUGAGAAAUCAAGAAAGUAUGGGGAAAGGAGCUAUAGCAGAGGAGUGUCUUUGGACAGGUGGAAAAAUACAUGGGAGGAAGAAAUUUUAAAAAUAUGAAAUUAUUUGGUGUUUGAGACCCACGAAGAAACCAAAUCCUGACUCACAUGCUUGCUUCUGGCUCCAGAAAACAGGAGAGGUUCUCAGUUUACUCAUGUGUGAAAGAGGUUAAAAAUAACCUCUUAGGGUGUCAUGCAGAUUAAAGGUGAUGAAAGAGUGCAGUACCUGGCACAUUAUAGGCAAAUAUUUGUUAAUUUUGUCAUAGAAUGAUGGGUCACUACUGCUAGUACUACUACUAAUUUUGUUCACCUAUGCCACGGCUUUUGCUGUAUUGGGACUAAUUGUUUUUAAUGACUACUUUGGUAGUAGGUUAGAGCCAAUGCUUGUAAGGCCAAGGUCAUGAAUUCUGACUCCAUAAAGGGCAGUUAGCUACUGACACAUUUGAAUCCCUACAUCAGUCAAGUCACAGACAUGUCUCAAGGAAACCUAGGUACAGGAGUACAUUUAGAUCUGUAUAUUGGGUGGCCUCAGAUAAGUUUUCGGAUAGUUGGUUUUCUCAUCUUUGAAAUGUUACAUGGCUAUUGUAAGUCUCAAAUAGGAUCAAAUAGGAUAUAUGAGAAAAUAUUACACAAUGUAAGUACUAUCCCAGAGGUAUUAUUACCAGUAUAUAUGUGAUCAAUAAAAUCAACAAAAAUUGCUGCUAGUUAAUAAAUGCAAUGUAUUGCAUGUUUUUAUAAAAGCAACUCAAUUUUUCGUGUCUGCACUUCAGUUUGUAGGACUCUCAUUUUUCACCUCAGAGAACAGUGAUGUAAGAAAGGGAGAUCUACCUCACUAAUGAGAUUAUUUUUUUCCUAAGCUACAAAACCCUUCUAAGAUUCAGGUCUGAAAACCUUUUCUUUAUUUUUCCUGAUUUUUUUUUUUUUUUUUUUUUUUUUUUUUUUUUUUUGUAUUGUUGGCUAACCCCUCCUUCUUGAAACUUUUCCCUUUUGGCUUCUGUGACCACUAGCCCUAAAGUUGAGAAAAGUGUCAUUAGAAGAAUAUAUAAGAAGAUUGUAGGGAUAAAACAGUGAUUAGUUAUGGAGAACAGACCAAAGAUGUUAGGAUUCUGGAGACUGGGAAGGUAAUAAAUGAUAGGUAAGAUGGGAAUAUGACAUGAUUUGGUAGGUGAGAUAUCGUGGUGAGAGAUGACAAGGAAAUAAUAUAGAAUUCAACAGAUCUAAAUUCAUGGCUCUCUUCCAUGAAUUCAGAAUUAUAAGUCAAAGGGAUACCUUUUAAAAUAUGAGUUUAGGAUGUUAGCUAGACUUAUUGUGAUCAUUUCACAAUAUAUAUAGAUAUCAAAUCAUUGUUGUACACUUGAAGUAAUAUAGUUAAUAUGUCAAUUAUAAAAGUAAAAAAUAAAACAUGAGUGCAGUAAUUUUGAGACAAAUACAGAGAACUAGUGACUAUUAUAUUUCACAUUUUGGAGGGGGAAAAAAAAAGCAAGAAAGGGGAAAUUACAUGAUACCUGUCUUUAGAUAUAUGAAAAACUUUUGUGUGAAAUGGUAGCUAGUCUUUUCUGUCCCACAACUAGAUCCAAUGAGUAGAAGUUAAAGGAAACAAAUUUCCCUAAAACACACACACACACACACACACACACACACACCCUCAGAGCUUUCAGAAGAUGGAAUGAGUUACCCCAAGACAGUGCAAACUUCUCACCAUUGAAAGUACUCAGAUAUAAGUAGGGUAUUUAUAUGACAGACAUAGUGUAAAAGGAGCUCAUGCAACAGUAAUUAAAUAACAUGACCUCAAAUUUCUUUUUUAAUGUUGCAAUUCUUUUAUUUUUUUCUUUCCCACAGACUGAUUUCUACUGGAUCCUUCCUGCUACUAUUUCUUUGUCAGCAUUUCCUCUCUGCUUUUCUUGGGAGUUUUGUACUUCAACUUCCAGCAUCACUCCUAGACUUGUGGUUUCAAAACACUUCUUAUCUCCAAAACCAACCUCUGCCUUUCUGAUAGCAAGAAACUUCAGCUAGUUCUCUAACUCCAUUAAGGGGGUAUCCCACUGAAUGCUUCCUACAUCUCACCAUUUCUUAAACUAGCUUUUCUUCCCAAAAAUGUCAGAUAAUAAGUAUCCCAUUCUAAGCUUGCCUUUAUCGUGGAGCCUUCCAUAUACUUUAGACUCAGUUUUCCAUAUCUUCUUUCUUUUCUUCCUUACUACCAUCUCCUAGUAGUUUUGGAUAGUCAAAAGGUACAUCAGCUGUCUUUAAGACUUUGCUCUUCUCAAAUCAUUCUCAAAACAUAGUUAUUCAGAUCUUUUUCUAAAAUACUGUCACUCUUCAAGAACUCUAUCAUCAAUCAAAUAGAAUCCAAAUGACCUUGCCUGCUUUUCGUAUUGCCUUCCAUAAUUUGUAUUUACCUUACCUGUCCUGCUAUAUUUCCUACUAAUUCCUAACAUAGAGGCAUAGUACUAUGAUUAGCUACAUGUACAUGCAGUACAUGGUUAGCAUAAUUAUUACCCUGAUUAGCUGUGGGUUUUGCCAUAGAUCAGUUCCCUCCAUGCCAAGAUCUUGAUUUCUAUAGGCCUAGUGGCUAUAUAAAGAGUCCUGGAUGUACUGUCUAUUAAGCCUCAUUGAUUCAGAAAUGUCAUCAUGUGCUACACAUGUCAUGAUGUGAAGAAUGUUGGGGAACACUGGUGUGGUUGUUAAAAAUACUAUCAGCAUUGGAAUCAUGGUUCUGCCUAUCUAUGUCUGUCAAAUUACUUAAUCUCUUGUGUUUUCAAGUUCUUAAUCAAUAAAGUAGGAAAAUAGCAGUGUCUACAGUUCAUAGGAUUAUUUGUUAAGAUUAAAUUAAGUGAUCAAUAAAUGUUAAAUGGUACUUUUUCAA